AGAAUCAACGCUGGCGGCGUGCCUAACACAUGCAAGUCGCACGAGAAGGUGGAGCAAUCCAUGAGUAAAGUGGCGCACGGGUGAGUAACACGUGAAUAAUCUACCUCCGAGUGGGGAAUAACUGAGAGAAAUCUUAGCUAAUACCGCAUAAUACCCACGGGUCAAAGCAGCAAUGCGCUUGGAGAGGAGUUCGCGGCCGAUUAGUUAGUUGGCGGGGUAAUGGCCCACCAAGACGAUGAUCGGUAUCCGGCCUGAGAGGGCGCACGGACACACUGGAACUGAAACACGGUCCAGACUCCUACGGGAGGCAGCAGUGGGGAAUUUUGCGCAAUGGGGGAAACCCUGACGCAGCAACGCCGCGUGGAGGAUGAAAUCCCUUGGGAUGUAAACUCCUUUCGAUAGGGAAGAUAAUGACGGUACCUAUAGAAGAAGCCCGGCUAACUUCGCGCCAGCAGCCGC
rnacentral:rRNA from 1 species